GUCCCGCCGGCCUCGUGCCCUGGGCGCGCGCCGGGGCUCGCCCCUCCCUUGGGCCCCCGCGGAUGGGGCCGCUCAGGGGCGGGGACGCCGCGUGCGAGCAGCGUCGGCCACGAGUGGCCCUUGCCCCGGGGCUGCGGGAAAAGUUGCGAGCACAGCCUGGAAGAGGGCGAGCUUGGGGAACCUGCCUGAAAGGGAGAUACGGUGAUGUAGACCAGUGCUAGAACACUGGCCUAGCAUGUGCAAGGUCCUGAGAUCAAUAUCCCACACUAAAGCAUAACAGAAUCACAUGUGAACAGUUUCACAGGCUUUGAAGACAUGAGGGAAUCAUUGAGAGAAGCUGGGGUGUGACAUCGUAAGAGGCUAUUGGUGAAGGCACAGCCGCUCUGGGAUUGAGGAGUCAUGGAGAGAAGUUGAGACUUGGCACCACCUAGCCGGGUCAGAAUCCCUGCAGAGAGCCCAGGGGAGGCUUGUGAGAAGAGUCAGCCCUGUUGUGGUGGAGACCCCAGCUUUUUGGAGAUGCUAGCACCAUGGGACCACCACCAAGAGCAGCAGCAGCUGUGGAGUGGAGCCAGACUGAUCCUGGGAGAUGAACUCUGUGUGCCGUGGUGGCAGAGCCCGAGGAAAGGAAUUAGCUGUCCAGGCAAGGAUCAUGAGUGGGUUCCAGGCAUUAAGAACUUAACUUUUCACAAUGUUGAACUUUGCCUUCAUUUGUCUCUUGUGGAGUAAAGAAGUAUUCUGCUUAUUUUGAUUUUAUAGGCACCCACAGUUGAUUCUGAACCUUUAAAGGGAGUUUUAGAAAGGCUGGAUAUUUAGAGGCUUGAACUUUGAAAGAGACUGAACUUUUAAAAGUAUUUGAAUUUUAAAGACCAUGGAACUUUAAAAAUUACCCUCAUAGAUUUCAUAUUGCAGAGAACCCCUGGAAAUGUGAAGAAUAUGGCACAGCUUGUUCCAUUCUUAGUGAUUUUUGUGUGUAUAUGUGCAUGAGUGCGGGUGCUCUCAGAGGCCAGAGGAGGGCACUGUAUUCCCUGGAGCUGCCCAAUGUUGAUGCAGGGACCCAAACUAAGUUCUUCUUCAAGAACAGUACAUGCUUUUAAAGAUGAAUGGUUUCUCCAGCCCCUGCAUCACACUUCCUUUGUCCUGACUGCGUCUCAGGAACGUAGCUCUAUUGGAAAGCUCUGUUCAUUGCAGUUUUCUUGAACCAUGAGACUAAAUAUUUAAUUAUCACUUUAUUAUUUGUCUGUAGGUUCUGAAAAUAUUUUGAUUUCCUGUAUGACUGAAAUUUGUCUCCCAGAUAAGAUGAAGUAGCCCAGCUAUUACAACUGCAGCCAACUUGCUUCUCUGUGUCGGCCACUGAAGUCAAUGAAAGAUGAGCUUUGGGGUGAGAUCAGGUCACCUGCUGAGAUUAUUGUCAUUGCAACCAUCUUCCUCUUGCUCCCAGUUCCUGUUAUUUGUCCUGGAUGAGAAGGAGUCUUCUCAUUCUUUUCAUUAUGACAAAAAUUAUUUUAAAAGAGCAAUCACAGCACCAAUAUCUAUUACCAACCACAACCAUCCCAGGUGAAUGUCAUGCUGAGAACAAGUGUGGGAGCUCAGUGGGGGCCCCUUCCUUCGUUUUUUUUUUUUUUUCCCUCUAUAAUUACUAUAGGAGCUUUCAACCUAGGAAGGGAGGGGUGCCUGGAGUCACCCGAGGACUGAAGAGAUUCCUUGGAUGGUAGGAAUUCUGUAGCGGGUUCCUCAGCUUCAGAGAAGGUGGGAAAGACUUCCUUCAGAACAUAAGACUGAGUUUACACUAGUGGAGGGGUGAAAGAAGAACUUUGGGUAGUGAGAAUAGCUCAAGGCUAACAGCAUCAAAUCCACAAAUAAAUAUAAAUUCCUCGACAGUAGAAAUGAGAAAAUUUUACCAAGUAAUUAAAGGAGACCUAAAAAUAUGGAAACCUCUGCCUUAUAUUCAUGUUUAUAGAGCCAAUAUUAAGAUGGUCAAUGUCCACAAAUGAUCUUGUAAGAUCAGUACUAAAUCUCCCAAUGGUUCUUUUUACAAGGUUUAAAAAGAAAUUGAGAAGCUAAUUCUGAGGGUUUUGUAGAAAUACAAUAGUUCUAAAGCAGCCAAAGCAGUGAGAAAAAAAAACCCACCUGAUUUUCAGAUUUUUCUAUAAAGUUUUGACAAUUAAGAUAAACAAAAUAACCAUCAGAUUAGUGGAUUCAAAAUCAGACCCCAUACAUCCACAAGCACUGCUUUCCAGAAAAGGCAGUGUCAACUCAACGAGGAAAGGGUUUUCAAAAGUGGUGCUGAAGGGCUGGAGUAUGCCGAGUUGGCGGAACGCUGACUUAGGAUGCACAAACCCUUGGGUUCCAUGUUCAGCUCCAUCUUAACUGGAUAUGGCUGCACACAUCUGUAGUCCCAGCACUUGGGAAGUGGAGAUAUGAGGAUUAGAAGUUCAAGGUCAUCUCCAACCAUACAGCAAACUUGAGGCCAGCCAAAGCUACAUGUGAUUCUGUCUUAAAAACAGAACAAAGCAAACGGUGCCAAAAUGAUAUACUCUACCAAAUACACCUAUUUCUACAAACAGUGAUCUGACAUGCAACCUGGAGAGGUCGAGCUGUGGUGAUAAUGUGUCUCCCAAUAUACUGUGCACCUUAAAAAACUUUUCUGGGGUUAGAGAACAGAACAGCCACUAGAUAGACAUAGAGGCCAGAAAAUGGUGGCACACAUACCUUUAAUCCUAGCAUUUUGGA